rnacentral:rRNA from 1 species
CCUCCGGGAGGCAGCAGUCGAGAAUCAUUCACAAUGGGGGAAACCCUGAUGGUGCGAAGCCGCGUGGGGGAAUGAAGGUCUUCGGAUUGUAAACCCCUGUCACGUGGGAGCAAAUUAAAAAGAUAGUACCACAAGAGGAAGAGACGGCUAACUCUGGGCCAGCAGACGCGGUAAUACAGAGGUCUCAAGCGUUGUUCGGAACCACUGGGGGUAAAGCGUGGGGAGGCUGUUUUUUUAGUCGUGUGGGAAAGGGGCGGGCUCAAACCGCGGACGGCAGAUGAAACCGGGAGACUAGAGUAAGCGAGGAGAAGGCGGAAUUCUCGGUGUAGCAGUGAAAUGCGUAGAUAUCGAGAGGAACACUCGUGGCGAAGGCGGGUUCCUGGACAUUAACUGACGCUGAGGCACGAAGGCCAGGGGAGCGAAAGGGAUUAGAUACCCUAGUAGUC